AACGAACGCUGGCGGCAUGCCUAACACAUGCAAGUCGAACGAGACCUUCGGGUCUAGUGGCGCACGGGUGCGUAACGCGUGGGAACCUGCCCUUAGGUUCGGAAUACCUCCCCGAAAGGGGUGCUAAUACCGGAUAAUGUCUUCGGACCAAAGAUUUAUCGCCUUUGGAUGGGCCCGCGUUGGAUUAGCUAGUUGGUAGGGUAAAAGCCUACCAAGGCGACGAUCCAUAGCUGGUCUGAGAGGAUGAUCAGCCACACUGGGACUGAGACACGGCCCAGACUCCUACGGGAGGCAGCAGUGGGGAAUAUUGGACAAUGGGCGAAAGCCUGAUCCAGCAAUGCCGCGUGAGUGAUGAAGGCCUUAGGGUUGUAAAGCUCUUUUACCCGGGAUGAUAAUGACAGUACCGGGAGAAUAAGCUCCGGCUAACUCCGUG
rnacentral:rRNA from 1 species